AGAGUUUGAUCCUGGCUCAGGAUGAACGCUGGCGGCGUGCCUAAUACAUGCAAGUCGAGCGAACGGACGAGAAGCUUGCUUCUCUGAUGUUAGCGGCGGACGGGUGAGUAACACGUGGAUAACCUACCUAUAAGACUGGGAUAACUUCGGGAAACCGGAGCUAAUACCGGAUAAUAUUUUGAACCGCAUGGUUCAAAAGUGAAAGACGGUCUUGCUGUCACUUAUAGAUGGAUCCGCGCUGCAUUAGCUAGUUGGUAAGGUAACGGCUUACCAAGGCAACGAUGCAUAGCCGACCUGAGAGGGUGAUCGGCCACACUGGAACUGAGACACGGUCCAGACUCCUACGGGAGGCAGCAGUAGGGAAUCUUCCGCAAUGGGCGAAAGCCUGACGGAGCAACGCCGCGUGAGUGAUGAAGGUCUUCGGAUCGUAAAACUCUGUUAUUAGGGAAGAACAUAUGUGUAAGUAACUGUGCACAUCUUGACGGUACCUAAUCAGAAAGCCACGGCUAACUACGUGCCAGCAGCCGCGGUAAUACGUAGGUGGCAAGCGUUAUCCGGAAUUAUUGGGCGUAAAGCGCGCGUAGGCGGUUUUUUAAGUCUGAUGUGAAAGCCCACGGCUCAACCGUGGAGGGUCAUUGGAAACUGGAAAACUUGAGUGCAGAAGAGGAAAGUGGAAUUCCAUGUGUAGCGGUGAAAUGCGCAGAGAUAUGGAGGAACACCAGUGGCGAAGGCGACUUUCUGGUCUGUAACUGACGCUGAUGUGCGAAAGCGUGGGGAUCAAACAGGAUUAGAUACCCUGGUAGUCCACGCCGUAAACGAUGAGUGCUAAGUGUUAGGGGGUUUCCGCCCCUUAGUGCUGCAGCUAACGCAUUAAGCACUCCGCCUGGGGAGUACGACCGCAAGGUUGAAACUCAAAGGAAUUGACGGGGACCCGCACAAGCGGUGGAGCAUGUGGUUUAAUUCGAAGCAACGCGAAGAACCUUACCAAAUCUUGACAUCCUUUGACAACUCUAGAGAUAGAGCCUUCCCCUUCGGGGGACAAAGUGACAGGUGGUGCAUGGUUGUCGUCAGCUCGUGUCGUGAGAUGUUGGGUUAAGUCCCGCAACGAGCGCAACCCUUAAGCUUAGUUGCCAUCAUUAAGUUGGGCACUCUAAGUUGACUGCCGGUGACAAACCGGAGGAAGGUGGGGAUGACGUCAAAUCAUCAUGCCCCUUAUGAUUUGGGCUACACACGUGCUACAAUGGACAAUACAAAGGGCAGCGAAACCGCGAGGUCAAGCAAAUCCCAUAAAGUUGUUCUCAGUUCGGAUUGUAGUCUGCAACUCGACUACAUGAAGCUGGAAUCGCUAGUAAUCGUAGAUCAGCAUGCUACGGUGAAUACGUUCCCGGGUCUUGUACACACCGCCCGUCACACCACGAGAGUUUGUAACACCCGAAGCCGGUGGAGUAACCUUUUAGGAGCUAGCCGUCGAAGGUGGGGCAAAUGAUUGGGGUGAAGUCGUAACAAGGUAGCCGUAUCGGAAGGUGCGGCUGGAUCACCU
rnacentral:rRNA from 3 species